rnacentral:rRNA from 1 species
UUGCACGCUGGCGGCAUGCUUUACACCUGCAAGUCGCACGGUAACAGGCCGCAAGGUGCUGACGAGUGGCGAACGGGUGAGUAAUGCAUCGGAACGUGCCCAGUCGUGGGGGAUAACUACUCGAAAGAGUAGCUAAUACCGCAUACGAUCUAUGGAUGAAAGCGGGGGACCGUAAGGCCUCGCGCGAUUGGAGCGGCCGAUGUCAGAUUAGGUAGUUGGUGGGGUAAAGGCUCACCAAGCCAACGAUCUGUAGCUGGUCUGAGAGGACGACCAGCCACACUGGGACUGAGACACGGCCCAGACUCCUACGGGAGGCAGCAGUGGGGAAUUUUGGACAAUGGGCGCAAGCCUGAUCCAGCAAUGCCGCGUGCAGGAAGAAGGCCUUCGGGUUGUAAACUGCUUUUGUACGGAACGAAACGGCUCUGGUUAAUACCCGGGGCUAAUGACGGUACCGUAAGAAUAAGCACCGGCUAACUACGUG